CCAUCUCCCUCGUCAAUUCUGAUGGCCCGUCGGUCGGGCUCAAAUUCUGCGCUUAUAAAAGGAGGGUUGGAUGAAAACCGCAGGCAGAAAACGACGGCGGCAAUUGGGCAAUCGCCUUCCGCGUAUCAAGUGUAGAGCGUGCCAUUGCCACAUACUGACCGAUUGUUUUAGUCUUGGACCGAACUCUUAAAUCUACCAUGGCGUUAGAAACUUUAAUUAAUGUUUGAUACGCGCAAACAAGUUUAACUGAAGAAGAAAGUCAAUCUAUGUUCUUCCUUAGCAAGGAAGAAAAUAACCAUUAAAUUUCGUCCUUAAGCUUCAUACUCGAUCUGUUCCUCUACAUAAUUAAGAUGCAUGUCUCCAUCUCCUCUUAAUUCUUCCAGUCUCUUCUUUUGUAGUGGAUCACUACUACAAGCGGCGGGCGGACGAUCGGCGAUGGAACCGUCGCCGCCGCUGAUGACUACUCUCCGGCUCAUUUCAUCGCCUGGUUAUGAUACCUCCCACCUCAAUUUUCCAUUUUAUUGGUUCAUUAUGUGACAAUUUAUUCAUGUUAUAACUGUUUAAUCCGAGAUACUUGCUUCUGUGUGGAUUUCCCAUCAUGUCUGACUGUAAUUUUGCGACUAAUUUAACUGUUCGAUAUGAUUUUGAGGUCGCCUUAGCCUCCUGUUAGAACUGCUGCCAAUCUCCUGUUAAAGCGGUUGCCAGUCGGAUAGGUGGAGAUGGCGGAAGGGUAUUGACGGCCGCGAUUUCAUGAUCAGCUCUUUUACACCCAGUUCGGCUGUCUGGUUUCAUGGCCAUCUGAGUAUCUCCCGUUAAAACGCCACCGUGGGAGUUGGAUAGGUGGAGGAGAAAGAACAUGAUGCCGUAAUUGACACGCCGUUUGCCUUGACAAUAGCCCGACAACGCGUGGCAGAAUACUGUUCGGCACGAAGGACGGACGAAAGCAGGCGAAAGUUUCGUGCAACACGCCAACACGCAAUUUCUGCGAUAUUUCCGACGCUUAAAUUUGUGGGUCAGAUUUUGUUUUAACAAGAUGCAAAGUUCUUUACUA